UACUACUUUCAUGGACAUGAAAUUUUUCGAAUGCCUUUUUCCAAUUAUUGAAUCCAUCCAGUAAAAAUUAAAUAUCAAUAGUUGUCUACAUUAUGUUUAGUCUUAAGAUAAUAAGUUACACAGUCAACACUUGAAAACAGAAUAAAAUAGUCAAAACAGAAUUCUUGAUCUGAUUGUAUAUUAUAGUGAAGCCAAUUGGAAUUUUCAAAUCACAUACUAUCACAUAAUCGUUGUUUUGUUUUUGAGAAUUUUAAAUGUUUAGAAGGUUCAUACUUUCAAUAACAGGUAAAUCAUUAUUUUGUACUUUAAACAUAAUUUUAUAUAUAUUUUUUAAUCAAUUUAAUAUAUUCCUCUUUAAGAAUAAUUCGGCAAUAGAUAUGAACAAAGAUAAUUGAUAAAAGUAUUGCGUGGUGUUGCUGCUCUAAAGAAGAACUUUUUUGCUAGUGAUAAUAUAAUAACAAUAAACAUAGUAUUGGGUACUUACACAAUCUGAAAUCCAUAAUAAAUUAUAUAUUUUAUUGGGGUACAUAAUGAUACUUUUGCGCCCUUCGUAUUUUAAUCAAGGGAGCAAUCGCCCCCUGCCCUCUCAUUACCGGCACCACUGUUUGGUCUCAUUAUAUCAAGUAAUGUUUCUACGAAGUUCCAAGUUAUUGUAGUGAAUAUUCUCUUAAAGAAUAUUCUUCCCUAAGCUUAAGAAUAUCAACUUGCCCUCCCCUCCCUACAAAUAAUUUUUAAAUAUUAAUUAGACCAAAUAAAAUGUUUAUUGAUAGAGCUAAUUUUUUUUACGGAUUCACACUAACUUUUAAGUAUGUGGUGCAUAUCAAUAUUUUUAUUAGUACCUAAUGGUGUGACUAAUUAUUUAUAAUUCUGGUCAUUAAUCAAACAUUGUCAAAGCUUUGAAACUAUUGUAAAAUGAAUAAAGAGCCAAAGACAAAAUGAUCAAUAAAUAUAUGUUAAUUUUUCGUAUUUUAACUGUGUUGUCAGGUACAGACAUCAGGCCAAGAGGUUACCCCAGUCAUCCCAAAUAAAACAUGGUGUUUAAAAUUAGUCACAAUAAAGAUAUUUUCUGAAAAUCUCCACGUGUUUGCACAAUGGGUUCCAUGGACACUGGAUACAAUAUCAAUUUUAUAGAAAAACGAACAACUUUAAUUAUAUUGUCAAGCAUCAAUGUUACAAUGUUGGAUACCAAAAAUACGAAUGUUUUUUACCCAACAUGCUGUUUAUCAUCAACAUAUCAAACAUUGAAGACGAUAAAAAUAUCAAGAUUGUUUAUAAAAUAAUAUU